GCUGCUUGUUUUUUUUUUUUUUUUUUUUUUUUUUUUUUUUUUCCCGGCCGCCUGCAGAAAUCAAACCUGCAGAAUGAUUUCAGGCGAUAAUAACAGGGAGGGGGGAGGGACGUUG
rnacentral:ribozyme from 1 species